rnacentral:piRNA from 1 species
UCCUAGAUGGCAUUAGAGAAACCCAAAGGAGC